rnacentral:rRNA from 1 species
AUUGCACGCUGGCGGCAGGCCUAACACAUGCAAGUCGAACGAGUGGCGGACGGGUGAGUAAUGUCUGGGAAACUGCCUGAUGGAGGGGGAUAACUACUGGAAACGGUAGCUACUACCGCAUACCAUCAGAUGUGCCCAGAUGGGAUUAGCUAGUUGGUGGGGUAACGGCUCACAAAGGCGCCGAUCCAUAGCUGGUCUGAGAGGAUGACCAGCCACCCUGGAACUUAGACACGGUCCAGACUCCUACGGGAGGCAGCAGUGGGAAAUAUUGAACAAUGGGGGCAAGCCUGAUGCAGCCAUGCCGUGUGUAUGAAGAAGGCCUUCGGGUUGGAAAGUACUUUCAGCGGGGAGGCGUUACCCGCAGAAGGAGCACCGGCUAACUCCGUGCCAGCCGCCGCGGUAAUAC